rnacentral:rRNA from 1 species
CAGCAGCCACGGUAAUACGUAGGGUGCAAGCGUUAAUCGGAAUUACUGGGCGUAAAGCGUGCGCAGGCGGUUAUAUAAGACAGAUGUGAAAUCCCCGGGCUCAACCUGGGAACUGCAUUUGUGACUGUAUAGCUAGAGUACGGCAGAGGGGGAUGGAAUUCCGCGUGUAGCAGUGAAAUGCGUAAAUAUGCGGAGGAACACCGAUGGCGAAGGCAAUCCCCUGGGCCUGUACUGACGCUUAUGCACGAAAGCGUGGGGAGCAAACAGGAUUAGAUACCCCCGUAGUCCCUGUCUCUUAUAC